ACUGAUGCUGGGGUGUUCAGUGUUUAUCUUCUGGGUAGAGCACGCAACCCAUGACAGAGCUGACAAAUAUCACAUUAUUCCAUCAUUGUUUCCCACAGGUCGGUCCAAAAAGCUCUUUUCGAUCUUGCAUAUAUAAAUCUACUAUCAUCGAGAUACACACCACUUUCAUAAGUUGGCUUUUGACUCUUGAUCAUCAUGUGGCUUCUGUUGGGAUUCUUCUUGACCUCCUCACUCAUCCACCCAGUUCAAAUGCUGCAAUGUUGGAAUGGGUUAAACUAUCAGAACGCAUCUUUAACAGACUGUCCUUCUAACUAUUGUGGUGUUGUUUUCCUGUCAU